rnacentral:rRNA from 1 species
UACGGAGGGUGCAAGCGUUAUCCGGAUUCACUGGGCUUAAAGCGUGCGUAGGUGGGCAGGUAAGUCAGUGGUGAAAUCCUGUAGCUUAACUACAGAACUGCCAUUGAUACUAUCUGUCUUGAAUACCCUGGAGGUGAGCGGAAUAUGUCAUGUAGCGGUGAAAUGCUUAGAUAUGACAUAGAACACCCAUUGCGAAGGCAGCUCACUACGGGAAUAUUGACGCUGAGGCACGAAAGCGUGGGGAUCAAACAGG